UUCGAUCUCAAAUCAGGUAGGACUACCCGCUGAACUUAA
rnacentral:rRNA from 3 species